GCGGGCCGCAGGCGUGAGGGCGGGGCGGGGAGGGGAGGCCGGGCCGGGCCAGGCCGCCGGGGCUGAGGGCGGCCGCCGGCUCCCGUGUCCCGGCCGGGCUCGGCUGAGGGCCCAGGGGUGCGGAGCGGAGGGCUGGGUGCGGGGGCUGGGCCGUAGGAAGGCGCGAAGGACCGAAGUCGGGCUUCUGGGAGCGUCUCACGCGUGCUGUGGAUCCAGUGCACAUUGCUUGGGUGAUGCCUCUGCCUCUUACCUGUUAGAAAAACCUCUCACAGAACACUAAACCCUCAUCUACACAAUGAACAAGAGAAGGAAAAGGUUGCAAGAUCUCUACAGGGAUGCACUCAGCCAGAAGAGUAAACAGUAGUAAAAAAUUAUCUUCCGGGAUCUCCCCGAGAGAUAGAGAUAGAGCUGCUGAAAGCCAGCCACACGAACUGCUGCAGGGUUUGCAACAGCAUCCACAGCUGUGAAACUGGAAAGGGCCAACAGGUCAGUCUGCGUCACUCGAAACACCUUCCCUGUUCUCCAUCUGCUACAGGAACCCCUAUUGCGCAGGUACAUGCUUGGGUAUAAACCCAGCCUGACAACAACCAGGAAGACCCAAAAUACCUAGAUAUUGGGAACCUUUCCUAGUUACCAUGCGGGUUUAACCUUUUGUCCAGUCUUGGCAUUGUGAAGGAAGCCAGGAAAGCAGUUUUUUCGGUUUUAUAGCGUGCUGCCUUCCACUGUGUAACACACUCCAAAGUCUUUUGGGUUUUUUUGACAAACUGCUAGUGUUAGAAAAAAAAUAUAAUAUUGUUAUUCAUUUAGCAAUAGAAGUCAACAAGCUUUUUCAUUAUUGACUGGGAAAUGAAUAUCAAAACCCACAAAUUUUAUGCUUAAACAUGAAAAGUCCAAAGAUGUUAGGUCUUUAUCAAAACAAAUUUUAAGAGACAAAUUUGUGUUCUGCACAGAAAUAGAUUUAUUGAAAAUCUUAAGGAAAACAAUAUAUUAACUAGUUCUGUCUGGCAUGCUAUUAUCAUGAUGUUUGUGAUAAAAAUCAAUUAAUAGGCAAAUCACUAUUUUAUACAUUAACUUCAAAUUUCAUACUCUGACUUCAAUCUCAGGGCUGAUUUAAGAAGUACCUUCACGUGGAACAUAUGCUGGGGAUUUUUUGUAUGUUUGUUAAGGCUAGUGUAAUUAGGGGGUUAAUUAGAAUCUUAAAUGCUUAGUUCACAUGUUGUGAGAUAUGUCUCACUCUAUAAAAAGAACUUUAUGACAUGGGAAAAAAGGGUUGUGUUUUUUUUUUUUCUUUAUAGCUGACAGUCUUGUGAAUUGGCAGCAUGAGAGUCCAAAUGAGAGACUAUAAACAUUUUUAAAUAAGCCGUUUCCAAUUUUCUUUUAUGAUUUGUAAUAAUUGAACUCUCUUGUGUUCUUGACGCUCAUAUUGCCACAAUGUUCCUCAAGCUAUACUUACUGUGUCAGCUACCUCUACGUUAUGGCUAUAAAGGUUGUGUCGAGCUGCAUACAGUAGAAACAAAAUAAA
rnacentral:lncRNA from 1 species